CUGGAUUGCUAGCAGGAAGACAGGCGGACUUAGAGUGCUAAGCUUGACCCUUGGUUCCUAGGUUCAGAUCAAAAACCGCUGCCUUGAGCGCUGGGACCAAUCUGGCUGUUUCCAUGGAGACGGCGGGAGCGGCUGGUUGCACAGGAUUCCCGGCGCCUCUGUUGCGUCAUUUCCCACCGCUGGCCCUUGGCUCCGUCGCCCCAGCCCGCGUUAAUUGGGAGGGUGAGUGUCUGUUGGGAGCCUGAAUAGUGUGUUCCGGAGUAUUGGCUGACAGUACGCUUUGCCCUUUCGGAAAAGCUUUCUAUGGAGAUGCCCCACUGUCAGUUGUGAGGCUGCGGCACCACAACGCUCCGGACAGAGUCGUGGGAGUGUCUGGAUGGAUAGCUACGUAUCCUGGCAACGGCCUGUCCUCCAGGUUUUCUGGAUAGAGGCCUCAGCUUGGAACUUCAGAGGUUGAAAGUACAGCUCAAAUGCCUGAGAUGGAGGUGAGCCUCCAAAGAAAUUGCAUCUUGGAAGAGGAUUUGCAGUCUGAAGAGAAGCUUUAGCUUCCAGCUCCUUUCAGACAUCUUCUGAACCCUUGUGUGGAGGAAAAGCUAGGUGUGCAGGAUCAAUCAACAGACAAAUUGACCCAGAGGUCUUUAGAGCAUUGGCACUGGCAAGAUCAAAGAAAUGGUGAAAUUACUUGUGCUGAAACAGUUUCAGAUCCUCCUGAACAAGGAGUUUAAAUUUUGUCUCAAAACUCUGAAAAUAAUGAAGAUUGUGUCUCUGGAGGAUUUAACCCAAAUGAGGAAGAAAUAAAUAUGGCUUAUAGAAAAAAAUGUACUAAUGGAAUAAGCUUAGAAGAAGGCAGUCUGCAAAGUAAAAGUAGGAAACAUAAGUUUUCCUUACCCUUCUUUAGGCACAGAGUCAAUCCUAGGUAAUUUCAUUUUCUAUUACUGCACAAACUUUCCAACAAGAGUGAAAAGGGCAAAAAUCAGCCAGAAUCUUAUAACACAUCAAGUGUAUUUUCCAUGUUUCUUUCCACUCCCUGCCUAGAUAAAUGCAUACUUUUUACUCAAUUUUAAUUGUAGAAUAGUCACAAUAAUUGUUUAAGACAUUUUCAUUCUAUCACAAGUAUUUUAUAUGUUGGCUGUGUAGUUUUCAUAAUUAUUUUGAUAAAUGUGGGCUGUUCCCUCAAGAUGCUGUUUUAAUACUUUGUAAAUUUAAUUUUUUUUAUGACAUACUUAGAUUGUUUGGAAUUUUUGAUAUUUUAAUGCUUUCUGCAGGGAUCAUCUUUUAACCUGCAAUUUGUUUUUGUUUUUAAAAGAUUCUGUUUUGUAAAAAAUGAUUCUCUUAUAACUACUUGUUAAGAGUACUAUCAACAAAAUGCUGCAUGAUUCUGUGGUAUGAGGGGUCAAAUUACUCUCCAAAAAGGAUAUAACACUUUAUACUACAUGAACACCUUACUGAGGUUAAGUUUCUCCUUAAUAUUUUCAUCUUCCUUUUUUGUAUCUGAUUGUCACCUCCUAGUGUUCCCUGCCCAGGCAUCCUAUGUCCUCAUGCUUCCCUCUCUGUUCCUGCCCCCGAUAGCACCCAGAUAACUGUUACCUGCAACCCACUCUAAUAACAGAGAUAAGAAUUCCUUUCUCUGAAACUUAGGAAUUGGGAGUUAUAUCUGUCCUUUUGCUUCCUUUGAUAGCUUUCUUUGGAGAGAAGGUAGGGGCCACAUCUCUUGUUCUGAGGGACUUGCUGGUCAGUAGUUUGUCUUCAGGAGUCCAUGUUCUUUUGACAUCCCUGUCUUCCCAGGAUUCUUCCUUCCCUCAAAAUGGAGCCCAAAGGAGAGAGGCUGGCUACCAUGCAUCUAACUGCAGGACACCAGGUAAAUAUGAGUUUAUUCCCAUCAGAAAUGCCGUUCCAGUGUUCAGAGCAUUAACACAUUUUAUCCUCUCACCUUAAAAUUUAUGUUCCCAUAUAUACACUUCUGAAAUCAAAUCUAAAGUUAUUUGACUUAUUGUAGUAAAUGGUAGGUUCUGUAGAAAAAGCUCCUUCUCAACAGUACCAUUCUGUAGUAAUCACCUCUUCAAGUCAUUGAUUUACUUAUCCAUCCAUUAAACAUUUUGUGUUAGGUUCCUGUUGCUGCAUAACAAAUUACCACACAUUUGGCAGCUGAAAACAACACCCAUUUAUUAUCUCACAUUUUUGUAGGUCAGAAUUCAGAACAGGGCUCAACUGGGUUCUCUGUUCAGGGCUUAAUACAGGCUGAAAUCAGGAUGUCAGCUGGAACCACAGUCUCAUCUGAGGCUUGAGAUCCUCUUCUAAGCUCAUUUAGUUUGUUAGCAGAAUUCAGUUCCUUAUGUGUAGGACCCAUUUUCUUGUUGGCUGUUGGCUGGGCAUUGUUCUUAGCAACUAGAGGCUGUCCUUUGGUGCUAGCCACAUGGCCCUAUCACAGUGAGGCAGCUGGCUUCUUCACAGCCAGAAGGACAAUCUGUCCAGUCUGCUACCAUAGAGUCUUAUAUAAUGUAACCUAAUCAAGGAAAUGACUACCCCACCAUAGUCACAGGAGCUAUGCACACUCAAAGGGAGGAGAUUAUACAGAGUUAGUACCACCGGAGUGGGAAUCUUGGAGCUAUCUUAGAAUUCUACUCAAUGGAAUAUGUGCAGAAGUGUCAGGUGGCAGCUUCUGGGAAACUUUCUGAAGAAAUAGCUGAUCUUUGCCCUUCUUUAUCCCUUCUGUUCUCCUUAUAAUCUUGGAGUAUGAGGUCAAGUUUAUACAUGAUGGACAAACAAGAUAGAAGAGCCUGGGUCCCUGACACUUUGGAAUGCCAUGAUUGCCCUCACCAUCUACCUAGACUCUUGUGUGGUCCAUGGUUAUAAAACCCCACUGUGUGCAAAACAGUGUCACCUUGAAAUUGUAGAGAACAGAUUGGGAGACCGUAGAUGGCUGCGAUGAGGAGAGACUGCCAGCCAUGAAAUUAGUCAGGAGACACAUAAUUUAGGCACGAAGACCUAGAUUUUAAGUUCAGAUACCUUCCCACAGUUAUUAUACAUAUGCAUGUUUCAAAUGGGCUAGGAAUUGGGGGAAAGAGAGCCUCUUUACCAAAUAAAAAGAAACCCUGAAAAUUUCUAAACUAAUUAGCCAACUGUCUUCAAGCUUGAAACUUAGGUGGUCCUACAGAGCAGGAACAGAUGCAACAUAUCUCACUGUGGCUCACCACAUUCCCCAGAAUCCCCCAACAAAAGCCAGGUACCUGAAGAUGACAUUGUUUUGCACAUGGUGUACCACAUAAUUUUAUAGUAGGGGCAUUUGUCACUAUUCAGGAAGCCUGCUACUUUCAUUUAAAGAAAUGUUUACUCAGGGGGCUUCCCUGGUGGCACAGUGGUUGAGAGUCCACCUGCCGAGGCAGGGGACACGGGUUCGUGCCCCGGUCCGGGAAGACCGCACAUGCCGUGGAGCGGCGGGGCCCAUGAGCCAUAGCUGCUGAGCCUGCGCGUCCGGAGCCUGUGUUCGCAACGGGAGAGGCCACAACAGUGAGAGGCCCGCGUACCGCAAAAAAGAAAAGAAAAGAAAAGAAAUGUUUACUCAGAUUGGGCUUUCCUGAUUCUGGUAUUGAAAACACCAGCAGGAGGUGAUAUUCUCACUCGACUGUAAAAAGUGAAAUAAGUGCCCAAACAUCUCUGAGUAAUUGCUUUGCCUCCAGCUUUCCAGUAUUCUCUCCCCCACCCCACUACCCCCAACCCCAGUCAUUUCCCUGCAAAUGGCAUGACCAUUUUCCUUUUUUCUGGUCCAUCUGUCUAACUUCUGAUGAUGCUUCCCACUAGAUCACCUCCCUUCCUUCUCUCACAUUUUGAAUUAUGUAUAUAGAUUGAUGUGGCCCCCUUUCAUACCAUUCUUGUCCUAUGUAUAUCUUCCUUCCUCAUCCCUCUGUGAUGUUAAAUGCAAAGACAUAUUUCAGAGUGUAAGAGCCAUAUAUAUCUGUGGACAUGUUUUCAUGAUAUCACUUCACCUUCACCAGUGCUGUUACUUCACUUGUGCUGUCACUCAGCACAAGACACGUGCAUUAAAAAAUUUUUCUUUCAGGCUGAGAAAAUAAUCUUGGAGACCAAAAAGUCUAUUGAAAAUCAGGAUGUUUCUGAAUAAGACCGCCUUGGGAGCAAUGAAAAGACUGACCAAAGAUGGUCCCUGAAACCUAAACUUGAGAGAAGAUGGGGAAUGUAAAGAAUAGGUUGGAGAGCCAAGAGAGGGAGACCAGCAGAGUAUAGGAUCAAAUGUCAGUUGCCAGCAAAAAAAUACUCAACAAAGAGAGGGGCCAGGCAAAAAGAAAAUUUGCAAGAAUAUAUCCUAUUAUACAACAAAAAUUCCUAUAGGAAAGAGAGCAUAUAAGUGUGAUGUGACUGAAGGUAUUUUCAAACAGAAUACAGAACUAAUGAAACAUAAAAUGUGCAGUGUAGAGAAACAAUACAAUUGUAAGGAAUGUGGGAAAAUUUUCAGUUACUAUUCUUUUCUUAACAAUCAUCCAAAGAGUCACCCUUUAUCUUCUCAUUUUGGAGAGAAAUCUUCUGAAUGUAAUAGUUGGAAAAUCUUCAGUGAGAAUGUAACCUUUACUCAGCGUGAGAAAAUCCACUGUGGAGAGAAACCCUUCAAAUUCAAUGACUGUGUGAAAACUUUCAGCAGGAGUUCUCUUAUUAAACAUCAGACAGUGGCUCCUCUGGUGGGCCAGUGGUAAAGAAUCUGCCUUACAAUGCAGGGGAUGCAGGUUCCAUCCCUGGUCAGGGAACUAAGAUCCCACAUGUCCUGGGGCAACUAAGCCUGUGUGCCACAACUACUGAGCUCUGGCGCCUCAACUAGGUCCCACAUGCCACAAACUACUGAGCCCAUGUGCCCUGGAGCCUGCGUGCCACAACUAAAGAAGAGAAAACCCAUACACCACAACUAGGGAGAAGCCCACGCACUGCAACGAAAGAUCCUGCAUGCCUCAGUGAAGAUCCCGCGUGCCACAACCAAGACCCAACACAGCCAAAAAUAAAUAAUAAAUAAA